UUCAAAGGUAAAAGGGUGAUGAAGAAAUGGCAUGUAUGAAAAGUUUUGUUCAUACAGUAUAAUUUUAAAGAACUUUCAGUUGUUCUAGUGAAACAGACAUUGAGUCAGUGUGAGUCUUUCUUCACACACUUGUUUCUUCCUGUUUGUGUCAUCUUCUAAAUCUGGUCGCGGUAAUGGGCUUAUUUGCUCACUCUUGAAGAAGACAGUAAGUGUGAACAUCCAGUUCACUGAUCAGACUGUUAAGAAUUAGAUUAUUCAGCAAACAUUAAGCAGAACAGGAGGAUGCAGCAAAUGGAAGUAACAGAGUAUGUUAAUGAGCGACCAAGACGUGAGCAGAAACGCAGUGGGGAUGCGUAUCGAACAGACAGAAGACGCUGUCGGCUGAUUUUCCUAAUAUUUGGCGUGUUGUGUAUGAUACAAGCCAUACUCAACGUUUCUCUACGCCUCUCAUUGUACAGGGGACCAAGUCAUUUGGAAUGCAACGCAACUGGUGUCAGUGAUCAGAAGAAGUACAACCUUCUUCAACAAAGAUUCAAUGCCUUGACCAGAGACCACAACCUGUGUGAAAACGGAAACACUGAACUGAACAACAGGAUAAGGAAUAUGGAGGAUGAUAUGAACAGGCUGAAGAAGCCUAACUGAAAGAAUUGAAAAAAUUCCUCUAAGUCUUCUUACUCACUUUUGUUUCCUUCAAUUCCUUCCUCCUUUACUUACUGAACCUUGAAUUGUGAUGUUUUUGUUUUGUUUUUUGGACAACCAAUGCCAUCUAGAACAGCAAAUACAAAAUAUGUAACCUGAUUAGCAUCAGAUGUUUUUUUGUGAUACUUGCACAAGGGGUUUUAGGCGAGAAAACAUUGUUUAAAUAUAUAAUUUAGAUAUCAAUAUGUCUUUAUAAUUGAUGAACGCAUUUGUAGUUGUAAGCUUUUAUGUACUUAUUCAAAUGUUUAAUGAAUAGAACACUUAAAUAAAGGAAUUGUCAAAAUUGAA